rnacentral:lncRNA from 1 species
UAACAGUGGCUCAGAAGCAUUUGCUAAAAGGGGACUGAAAGAGGCUAACAGAGGACGAAGAGGGCCCAGGACACAGGGAAAUUUUGAGCAGAGGUCACUACACAGACAAUGGAACGAGCCACAGAAGCUUGAGCAAUGCCCCAAAGGCCACAAGGGACUGAGCUACCCUUUAGUCUGAAGCCAAUAAUAGCAGAUGAUGGGUGUGAGCCAGAUAUCUCUUCCCAGUCGCUGGACAACAGGAGAAGGAAGCGUGUGUUUGUCUUUCUUCAAGUUCUCAUGAAAGUCGCUCUGGAAUCGUACAUUAAAAAAGCCUGUGGCAUGCUUAAGCUUCAGCCUCAUCUGUAGAAGAAAACUGCCUUUGCAUGAUGCAUUUUUCAGAAAAUGGACUCUAUUUCAGGACGUAGACUCUCACGUGGGAAAAGAAAGAAAACCUUACCUGGGUCUCCUAAGUGUGCCAUAGCACUACCGAAUCUCCCAA